AUACCCGUUGAUCCUGCGGGAGAUUGCUGCUAUCGGGAUUCGACUAAGACAUGCAAGUUUAUCCGCAAGGAUGGCGAAAUGCUCAGUAACACGUCGGUAAUCUGCCCUAUGGUCGGGGAUAACCUCGGGAAACUGAGGAUAAACCCUGAUAGGAAACGGCUUUUGGAAUAGGUCCUUUCUUAAACUCGAGCCAUAGGAUGAGCCGGCGGCUGAUUAGGCUGUUGGUGGGGUAAUGGCCCACCAAACCGAAGAUCAGUACGGGCCAUGAGAGUGGUAGCCCGGAGAGGGACACUGAGAUACUGGUCCCAGCCCUACGGGGUGCAGCAGUUGCGAAACCUUUACAAUGCACGAAAGUGUGAUAGGGGGAUCCCGAGUGCUAAUGCUUUGCAUUGGCUUUUGUCAAGGGUAAGUACCUUGGCGAAUAAGUGGUGGGUAAGACUGGUGCCAGCCGCCGCGGUAACACCAGCGCCACGAGUGGCAAUCACGAUUAUUGGGUCUAAAGCGUCCGUAGCCGGUUCAGUAAAUCUUUUGUGAAAUCGUUGGGCUAAACCUAACGGCUGGCAGGAGAGACUGCUGGACUUGAGACCGGAAGGAGUACAGAGUAUGGUGUGGGGACCGGUAAAAUGGGAUAAUCCACGCUAGACUACCAAUGGCGAAGGCACUGUACCAGGACGGAUCUGACGGUGAGGGACGAAAGCUAGGGGAGCGAACCGGAUUAGAUACGAGAAGUUUUCUGUAAGAAACCUUUUUGGAAUUAGCUUGUAUGUUCGUUAAGAAUAUCUACUGUGCAAGUUAAAGAAAAAUUGGCUAAAUGAUAACUAUCUCGCUAAUUACCCGAGUAGUCCUAGCUGUAAACGCUGUGAGCAAGGUGUUGCAUAUUCCUCGGGAAUAUGCAGUGUCGAAUCGAAGGAGUUAAGCUCACCACCUGGGAAGUACGGUCGCAAGGCUGAAACUUUAAGGAAUUGGCGGGGAAGCACCACAAGGGGUGCGGCGUGCGGUUUAAUCUAACUCAACACAGAAAACCUUACUAGAAGCGACGGCAGGAUGAAGGUCAGUCUGAAGGGCUUACCCAACGAGCCGAGAGGUGGUGCAUGGCCGUCGUCAGCUCGUGCUGUAAGGUGUCCUCUUAAGUGAGGUAACGAGCGAG
rnacentral:rRNA from 1 species